rnacentral:rRNA from 1 species
AUUGAACGCUGGCGGCAGGCCUAACACAUGCAAGUCGAGCGGAUGAAGGGAGCUUGCUCCUGGAUUCAGCGGCGGACGGGUGAGUAAUGCCUAGGAAUCUGCCUGGUAGUGGGGGAUAACGUCCGGAAACGGGCGCUAAUACCGCAUACUUCCUGAGGGAGAAAGAGGGGGAUCUUCGGACCUCACGCUAUCAGAUGAGCCUAGGUCGGAUUAGCUAGUUGGUGGGUUAAAGGCCUACCAAGGCGACGAUCCGUAACUGGUCUGAGAGGAUGAUCAGUCACACUAGAACUGAGACACGGUCCAGACUCCUACGGGAGGCAGCAGUGGGGAAUACUGGACAAUGGGCGAAAGCCUGAUCCAGCCAUGCCGCGUGUGUGAAGAAGGUCUUCGGAUUGUAAAGCACUUUAAGUUGGGAGGAAGGGCAGUAAGUUAAUACCUUGCUGUUUUGACGUUACCAACAGAAUAAGCACCGGCUAACUUCGUG